AAGGAUUUAGGUUAAAUUAAACUCACAGCCUUCAAAGCUGUAAAUAAAGAAAGCUUUAAGCCUUA
rnacentral:tRNA from 1 species